GCUGGGCAUGAUGGCACAUGCCUGUAAUCCCAGUGGCUCAGGAGGCUGAGGCAGGAGGAUUAUGAGUUCAAAGCCAGCCUCAGCAAUGAUGAGGGGCUAAGUAAUUCAGUGAGACCCUGUAUCUA
rnacentral:sRNA from 1 species